rnacentral:rRNA from 1 species
AAUGGGCGAAAGCCUGAUCCAGCCAUGCCGCGUGUAUGAAGAAGGCCUUCGGGUUGUAAAGUACUUUUGUUAGGGAAGAAAAGCUUGUUGCUAAUAUCAGCAAGCCAUGACGGUACCUAAAGAAUAAGCACCGGCUAACUACGUGCCAGCAGCCGCGGUAAUACGUAGGGUGCAAGCGUUAAUCGGAAUUACUGGGCGUAAAGCGAGCGCAGGCGGUUAUUUAAGUCAGGUGUGAAAGCCCCGAGCUCAACUUGGGACGUGCAUUUGAAACUGGAUAACUAGAGUGUGUCAGAGGGGGGUAGAAUUCCACGUGUAGCAGUGAAAUGCGUAGAGAUGUGGAGGAAUACCGAUGGCGAAGGCAGCCCCCUGGGAUAACACUGACGCUCAUGCUCGAAAGCGUGGGUAGCAAA